GAAUUUCUUGAUGAGAGUUGGUUAUUAUUAGAUGGAAGAUUGAUGAGAAGAAUUGAUGAUUCAAAACAGAGGUUUUAGGAGGCUAUUUAUAAAGAAAAUCAGUCGGAUCUAUAACCAUUAUAAAACAUGCAAAAGAAUUUACUGUAGCUGGUGAAUAGUACUAUGUGGUGCUAUUACAGCCUUGCCCCUAAAAUUAAUGAAUUGCCAAUUUUGCCCCUUUACUUGCCCCUUACUCUCUCACCGACUUCCUCACCUUCUUCUCACAGACUUCCUUCUCUUUCCUCCUCAUCUCAACCCCACCAAAAUUAAGGUAUUAGUCUUAUGUUCUUCAGUAUUUUUCCAAAAAGAGGAGAUUACUUUGGAUCUUUGAUUCAACCCCACCAAAAUUAAGGAGGAAGAUGGACCCAGGUUUGGUGGAUUCGAGUUUGAGGUGAAGAUACUCGGGUUAGCAGUGCGAGGCAUGAGAUUCUUUUCGAAACAAUCCAAACCCUCACCGAUUUUACUUUCAUAUUGACUAGAGCUUAUGUUUCAGGCGAAGAUGAAUGUUUCAUGGAUGUCUUUCAUGUCAUGGAUGUGUAUGUGCAGAAAAUUCAAGGUAUUAAUAAAAAUGGGGGUUAUAGGUGACAUUCGGUAGCAGCUAUUGAGGAUGUAGAGCGCUGCUAAGUACUUAUGUGAUGUCUUUGCAAAGUUUUAUUACAGUUUCAGGGCUUCAAGUUACGGAAACGAAACUAAAUGAGGAAUUGUUGAUCUACAGGUACAAUUCUAUCUCCCCUUUCUCUUUCUUGUUCUAAUUGGUUCAAUUUUCACCUAACCUUUAAUAUGAUCAGCUUACUUGUUAUUUUUUUUCCAUAUCUUUUCAUUUUCUCCCAAUAUUUUCUCUUUUUAAUAUGCUUAUAUGCAUAUGGUGUUUGCUGCCAAAAUUUAUGCUGUCAAGUUAGAUAUUGCUGUUGUGAGUGACUAUAGAGGGUAGCUGUUGUUUCACGCUGUUGCCGCUGUUAUUCUGGUGCUGCCCUGUUACCGCUGUUCUGUUCGUCCGAAAAUCAUCGACCUGAAAUUGUUUUUAGCUCAUAGUCCCUUCAUCAAUGUUUUAGAUCUCGAAAAGUUAUUCAAUCUAGGCUCAAGAAUUUCUCGAUUUGGAAUUGUGUGCUAGGAAUUAUGCCUUCUGGAAUUUACUAUGGUCUGCUACCCUUGUUCUAUCGCAGCGGGCUGUUAUUGCUCAUUUGAUGCCUAUGUGGUGUUGUUGUGUUGAGUUGGUUGUGGUGCUAAAAUGAAUGCUUGGGCUUCUCUUAUUUAUUUUGUCUUCCCUUCUUCCUUUAUUUACACAUUAGUUAUAAAGUUAAAAUGUGGGCAAUUUUGAUUAAUGACUAUUUGGAUAAUGACUAAUUGAUAAUUUGCCAAAGUGAUGAGGGAUUAAUGUGUAUGUUAAAUUUUCAAAUGUGUGAGUGACUAAAGUUAAUUAGUUUAAAUGUAUUGAAGGUUUUAAAUGUUUAUAAAAUAGAUUUGAUGAACGAACACUAAUCUCCCCAAGUUUAUUCAUCACUCUUAAUUAACUUCUUAUUUCGUAUUACAUGAGCCUUUUGUUGUUUUUAUUAAAUGAGGUGAGAAAAUAUAUAUGUAAAGGUUUGUACAUGUGGUAUGUCUAGAUAAGGGUUGUGUUCUACUUAUAUGAAUGUAAUAACUUAUCAAGUGAGUUUGGGAAGUAUUAAGGAGUCAACAAAGAAGUCAUGUUUGAUAUGAUAGUCUCCUUAUAAUUUAUUAUUAUAUACGUGAGAGUAAUUUACACCAUACAACUAAUAACUUGAGAAUCCUUUAUCUUUUCUACUGUAAUAUUUGCAGCAAUUGCAGGUUGGUGCAAAAUAAUGCAGUGCUUGAAGUUAGUCUUGUGCUUCUAUAACAAAAAAGAAAAUUCAACUGCGUGGCCCUCCUUGAUUCCAUAUCAACUUAACUACCGAGAAAGCAGCCUGGACAUCCUUGUUAGAGUAAAGAGGUUAGUCUUUCAAAUAUAUUCACUCUUAUCUCCUAUUUUUGUAUGGCAACUAUGUGUGCCGUUUCCUGCUUAAAUUUAAUGAUGGUGAGCAGGAUCGUGAUCCUUUGUAUCUGAAGUAAUAAUUAGUUUUUAUUCAAUAGAUGUGCAAAAGUUAGAUCAUUGUUAGACCUUGCAUUUCUAUGAACCUCCAUGAGUUUGUGAGGCGAUGGAUUCUAAAAGUAUAUCAAGCUAUUCUGUUUGAGAUUAUUACAAUAUACUACUCUUCUAGACUUCUUGUUCUUGAGCACUUCAGUUAUUUUACAUCUCUGCUUGCUUACUUUAUUUUCUUGAUUGUAUUUAUUAAAAGCCUGCUAAUGGCCCAAUACUCAUUAAAGCUUAGAGAGUAGUCAUUACUUUAGGAAAAUACAACUCAUCACGAUCACCAAACAACGUAGUCAUGACCCGAAAUUGAAUAUUGUUUAUGUCAUUUGUCAUUUAUGACUUUAUCGAUCCUAUAACACAUAAUGUGUGCUACAAAACUGACAGAAGUUUCUGAAGUGCACAUAAGGAAAUAGAUGACUUAAUGUUCCGAAGAUUUCUCUUACUUGUAAUCUUGUGAAGAAGACGGGUUCCAUGUUCUUAAAGUAUUUGAAAAGGAGGCAGACUUUUCUGCCUAAAGUUUGUCGUAAGAUAAGAGAAACAUUAUGACCUUUCCCAUAACAAAGUUAAUCUAGGAGGCAUAGAUAAAAAAAACAAAAGGACACCCUACUAUGAUUGCAUGAUUGCGUUCGCAGGUGGGCAUUACCUAAAUUCCAAAUCUGGUCGGAGGUCUUGAUGAGUUUAAGCGUACGUCUCUUCCUGUUUCUUUGAUUAUUUAGAUUGCUCACUUAUACUUCAGUUGCAACUAUCUACAUCAAUGUUUCUGCUAUUCAUACUUGUUUUGUGUGUUUUUAUACAGGUCUUGUAUAAAAUCUUGAUGAUCUGUGAGCAAUAAUGUACCCCUCGAAUCUGUCAGCUAGCCCUGAUACAACAACUGAGUUGUAAUAACUCUAAAGUUGCUGUAGUUCUCACUCGCUCGCUCUGCUUUGUUGAGUUCCAGGGGGAAAAGAAGAGAAGAUCGAGAGGAAGACAAUCUCAGAGAAGUUCUCAAUCACUCUGCUCAAAUGCUUUUGGAGCUCCGAACCUCAUAAUAAGUAUCUCUCUUACUAAAUUGUUGCUUCUUCGUGUUUCUUCUGCACAUCCUGUAUGCCUUGUUCUUGAGUAGGCUUGGGAUGAAGGCAUCAUUGGCAUUCCAGAAUAAUGGUGCUGAAUGAAUAGUGGGUUCUAUGAAUUGUUUUUGGGUUUAUUUCUUUAGAUAUACUGCUUUGGUUAAUUAUUUGGUGGUUACAAAUAUCUCUUAAUAUGGGUGACAUUCAGAAUGAUCCUCUUUCAGAAGAGGAAACUACUUGUAGGUUUCUUUUGUAUGAACUUCAGAUAAUUUUGGGAUGAAGUGAGCAAGCCUGAAAUAUUAGGGCCAAGAUGUUACUUGUAGGAGUGGAGCACGUGCUUAAAGGCGCCAAGAAGACAAGGAUACAACCAGAUGAAGCAUGUGUGAGAUGGUGAUAGUGUUAUAGGUUGAGGUUAUGGGAUUUAAUUUCAUUUGUAGUACGAGUAGUAUUUAAUUUAUAUUUUUAAACGGUAGAAAUGGGUAGAAUUAGAUACGUAAAUGAUGAAGUAAUGCAAGAGCAUAUAAGUGAAUAUAUGAGCAUAAUGUGUACUUAUUUUCAACUUCAAUAUGUGUAUUGUGAUUUUAGUAGAGAAAUUAUAUCUUUGUUCUUGAGGCUAGGUAUCAAGUUGGUGCUUUUUUUUUUUUUUUUUUUUUUUUAUUUAUUUAUUUAUUUUGAGAAAAAGAGGUUAAUAUCAAGUUGAUUAAUAAUACAUUUAAUACAAAAGAAAAAAAUAAAAAAUAAAUAAACACAAAUUUAUAAGGUAUAAUGAGAUAGUUUGCGUAGAAAUUCAAGUUGAUUGUAGUAGUUAGUAGAAAUUAUAUCUUUGUAUACCUAUUUGAUUUAAAAUCAACUAAGUUUUAAGAUUUAUAAGGUAUUGAGAUACUUUAUGUAGAAAUUCAAAUUGAUUAGUUAAUACUACAUUUUAAACAAAAAAUCAACAUCUUUCUCUUUAUUAUGUGAGGAAUAAAUGUUCAAAAGAUUCAUUGUAUUAAAGGACGGAGGGAGUAAUAUAUUUUUUUAAGAAUCUUUAAAUUAUAGCAAAUUCUAGAUAACUAAACUUAUAACAAUUGUUUUUCAUACAUAUUUCCCUAUAGACACUUAUAAAUCCAUGUAUCCUUGCUAUUACAAAACCCGAACACAACCACGAAUAUCACAACAACCGAACACAACCACGAAUUUUACUUAUCUUGCCGUCGGGGGGGCACGCGCAACGUGCGUGCUCCAACGACUAGUCUUUGUAAAAUACGGUAUGCAUUAUUUCAUUCAACUUAGCUUAGACUUUUGUCAAGAGUUCUCACUUGUUAAGUUGUUAUGCUUUUUAGGGUGCAACUGCGAUGGUCAACGACAUUAUGCUUCUUGAUAUGCGCCUUUUUUCCGGGGAGGACAAUCAUGCUUGACUUUUUUAUUCCAGUCCUUGCCAUGCUAUUGAUUUCAGUGGACACCUUUAAAAGCGGACUUAUACAUAUGCUGCUAACUAAGCUCUGCGCUCAGCCACAUUGGCUUCGACCAUAUUUUAUACAACAUGAUUGGUCUCUUCUUCUUUAGCAGUCGGGUGACAGUGAUGGCUCUGUAUUCUUGUUAACAUCAUUGCCUCUUUUAGAAAGUUCUGAAGUGAUCACGCUUAAUUUAAUGCAUAUGCUCUUACUACAGGCAGCUCGUCUUGGUCAGCACCUCAGCAUUCAUCCACAUAUAACUGUCUUCCUUUUGUUCUAUAUUGAAACAUGGUUGCUUCUUACAUGUUGCACUGAAAUGGUAUUUUCAGGGAAAUCGUUCUCAGACUCAGGCUUUUUAGUAAACUAUGUUAUCGCAAUUUCUAUUAUUUUCGUGGCCAAAGAAGAAUAGGCAGUAUGACCGUUCCUAAAAUCUUAUGGUCUCAAUGUUAUUUUAA